rnacentral:rRNA from 1 species
GUAGUCCACGCCCUAAACGAUGAGUACUAAACGUUGGGUAAAACCAGUGUUGAAGUUAACACAUUAAGUACUCCGCCUGAGUAGUACGUACGCAAGUAUGAAACUUAAAGGAAUUGACGGGACUCCGCACAAGCGGUGGAUCAUGUUGUUUAAUUCGAAGGUACCCGAAAAACCUCACCAGGUCUUGACAUGCUUUUGCAAAGUUGUAGAAAUACAGUGGAGGUUAUCAAUUGCACAGGUGGUGCAUGGUUGUCGUCAGCUCGUGUCGUGAGAUGUUGGGUUAAGUCCCGCAACGAGCGCAACCCUUGUUGUUAAUUGCCAGCAUGUAAUGAUGGGGACUUUAGCAAGACUGCCAGUGAUAAAUUGGAGGAAGGUGGGGACGACGUCAAAUCAUCAUGCCCCUUAUGACCUGGGCUACAAACGUGAUAUAAUGGCUGUUACAAAGGGUAGCUAUAGCGUAAGCUUUUGGCGAAUCUCAAAAAAGCAGUCUCAGUUCGGAUUGAAGUCUGCAACUCGACUUCAUGAAGUUGGAAUCGCUAGUAAUCGUGAAUCAGCGAUGUCACGGUGAAUACGUUCCCGGGUCUUGUACACACCGCCCGUCACACCAUGGGAGUUGAUUGCACCAGAAGUAGGUAGCCUAACCGCAAGGAGGGCGCUUACCACGGUGUGGUCAAUGACUGGGGUG